UAUUUUCAUUAUUUUCGAAGUUUUCAUCAUCAUCAACAUCAUCAUCAUCCUCAUCAUCGUCACUCUCAUCAUCGGAAAGACUGUCAGUGUCAAUAGAUCUAGCUCCAUCCAGAGGAAAACGCUUGGACAGCUCAGUGAUGUGAUUCCGACCAAACCCUGAUACAGAAGAACAAUUUUAAUUAACGUUCAGUAUUAUUCUCAUCACAAAAUCAGAAUGAGUCUGAAUGACUUAAUUUAUUUAAAAUGAAUAUAUUUGGUGUUUGUUUUUUUUUUGUAGAAGAACACUUGUCUUUGUAGCAUUUCAAUCCAAAAUUCCAUGAUAACAUUAAAGAAUCGAAGAAUUUAGAAAGAUGUAAUAAUGGUUUUUAACUUUAUAAUAAUAAUCCUGGCAUAUUAAAUAAUAUAAUGUCAUAAAUGACUGUCUGUAAAUUAAAAAAAAUACUGACAGAAGUGCUACAGGUACAUGACAAAAAUAAAUAAUUAUUUUAACGUGUGUGUUAUUAAAUGGAAAUCCAUAAUUAUAACUUAAGACAAACAAAUCAUAAUUAAAUUAUUUGUGUAGAGUAUCAAUUAAAACGUUCAAACUGGCAACUAAUGUGCAGAACAAACAAAAAACAAAGAACACUGUGAUUCAUGGCAACUUUCAACAUAUAACAUUUUGUAACUUGAACAUGAGCUUCACCCUGUAUAGCCUUCCGGUCGUCAUGACUAGGCCAGAUUUUGAAAUUUACUAUCUGUGAUGCUUCUAACAAAUCAUCAUCAUUAGACAAUCUUGCAGAGAUUUCUUCAGAUACUGAGUUUGCUAGAGCAUUUUGAUAGCUAUUUGGUGAAAUCCCUUUCUGGGUAAGUUUGACCCCUUUGUAGGUCUGACUCUCCAUGAUUGUUCUGACAACAUCUUCCUCAUCACUAUUUAUCAGAAGAUAAUUCUUUCAAAUUUUCUUGUUCAAAUUCAAUAAUGUAUUAUUCUUAAAAGAUGUACUUUGCAAUAAUCACUAUCUUUAAAAUCGAUUUUAAUAUAUUAUUUUGUUUUUCUUCUCCUUACCAGUAAACAUAUUUUUGAUAAAAAAAAAUAUAUAUAGAGUUUCAUGAAUAUGUUAUUUAAAAGGAUGUUAAUAAUUAUUAUUUUUUAUAUCAUAUGUGAAUAAUUAUGUUCUUUACCUUUGGCAAACCUCAAGAUCUGAUAAACUCUGGAGAGUUGACUGCUUCAUGUGUUUCACAUCGCCUAGAGUAGUUGUUGGGUCUUGCAGCAGCUUCGACAUACGACUGACUGGCUCUAGAAUGUUCUGAAUGAAAAUUUUAAAAAUCAAAUAUAAAAUACAUUUACAUCAAAGGAAAAUAUAACCAUAUAAUGUAGAAAUAAGGUCUUAAUUUUAACAGAAUGUGAAUUAAGCUAAUUUAUUUAUCCUUUGUUUACUUUUCAAUAAUUGCAUUUCACUGAACUGAUACAAUCAUACAAACAGUGAAACCUCCUUAUAGUAACUUAAAUUAAAGAAUGGUUACCUUCAGUACAACCAGGAAAACCAUAAUGGUCAUUGAUGUUGCCAACUUGUGCAGACCUUCAGCCUUGCUGUUGCUGUUGGAGGCAUGUCCAAGAUGUGUUGUGAUAGGGACGUAGGCCCUGAGAAAUGUGUUGAUGGCUUUCAUCAUAUGAGAAACCCAUCUUGUUCCGCCUGCUCUGGUUGGCAUCAAUGGCACUGAUUUCGGAUUAAGAGCUUUAAAGGUUCUAGCUAGUUCUUUUUGUUGCUUGGAACUGCGUUUAUACCAGUAGAACACACCAACUAAUAAAGUCAUUGCUUUGUCAUAUGUCUUGUUUGUCUUAAACACAUCUUUUAUGGCUAAUUCUAGCCGAUGGGCAAGGCAGUGAGUUAUUACCAAGCCAGGCUUUUCCUUCAGCAGCAGAGCUCCAACUCCCUUGUGGACACCUAACAUAUUGGAAGCUCCGUCACAUGUCAGACCUACAAGUUUAUCACGUGCUCCUGGCAAGUAGCUGUCCAAACUUUCUACAAUUGUGUCAUAAAUGUCACAAGAGGCAGUUGUCACGGGGGAGGCAAAGCAAAUAAACCUUUGAUAUACUU